GGGGCAUGGCCUUAGUACGGCGAGUGAGCGGCAAAAGCUCAAAUUUGAAAUCUGGUACCUUCGGUGCCCGAGUUGUAAUUUGGAGAGGGCAACUUUGGGGCCGUUCCUUGUCUAUGUUCCUUGGAACAGGACGUCAUAGAGGGUGAGAAUCCCGUGUGGCGAGGAGUGCGGUUCUUUGUAAAGUGCCUUCGAAGAGUCGAGUUGUUUGGGAAUGCAGCUCUAAGUGGGUGGUAAAUUCCAUCUAAAGCUAAAUAUUGGCGAGAGACCGAUAGCGAACAAGUACAGUGAUGGAAAGAUGAAAAGAACUUUGAAAAGAGAGUGAAAAAGUACGUGAAAUUGUUGAAAGGGAAGGGCAUUUGAUCAGACAUGGUGUUUUGUGCCCUCUGCUCCUUGUGGGUAGGGGAAUCUCGCAUUUCACUGGGCCAGCAUCAGUUUUGGUGGCAGGAUAAAUCCAUAGGAAUGUAGCUUGCCUCGGUAAGUAUUAUAGCCUGUGGGAAUACUGCCAGCUGGGACUGAGGACUGCGACGUAAGUCAAGGAUGCUGGCAUAAUGGUUAUAUGCCGCCCGUCUUGAAACCC
rnacentral:rRNA from 1 species